rnacentral:tRNA from 1 species
GGAAUGUGGCUUAGUGGUAGAGUGCUUGCCUAGCAUGCAAGAAGUCCUGGGUUCAAUUCCUCAGUACCA